rnacentral:rRNA from 1 species
CUACGGGAGGCAGCAGUGAGGAAUAUUGCACAAUGGGGGGAACCCUGAUGCAGCAACGCCGCGUGGAGGAUGACGCAUUUCGGUGUGUAAACUCCUUUUAUAUGUCAAGAAAAUGACGGUAGCAUAUGAAUAAGCGCCGGCUAACUCCGUGCCAGCAGCCGCUGGUAAUACGGAGGGCGCAAGCGUUACUCGGAAUCACUGGGCGUAAAGGACGCGUAGGCGGGUUGAAAAGUCAGGUGUGAAAGCCUACAGCUUAACUGUAGAACUGCACUUGAAACUUCUAAUCUAGAGUAUGGGAGGGGGAGAUGGAAUUAGUGGUGUAGGGGUAAAAUCCGUAGAUAUCACUAGGAAUACCUAAAGCGAAGGCGAUCUCCUGGAACAUUACUGACGCUAAGGCGUGAAAGCGUGGGGAGCAAACAGGAUUAGAUACCCCUGUAGUC